CCGUGCUAGGCGGGGAGGUAGCGGUGUCCUGUCGCUCGCAAUCCGCUCUAGCGAGGCCGAAUCCCCAGUCUGAGGGGCCGAGGCCGUGGGGUCAGUCGAUCGCUCCCAGCGUUGAUGGCCAGGUCCCGCGCGGUGAACGCUUGCGAACCAGGUCAGAUCCGGAAGGAAGCAGCCUUAAGCGAAUCCGUUCAUGCGCCGUGGGUCAGCCUGGCAGGAGCCGGGAAACGAACGAAACGCCCGCGGUGUCGGCUUCGAAGCCGGGUGCACGG
rnacentral:SRP_RNA from 1 species